rnacentral:rRNA from 1 species
GAUGAGCGCUGGCGGCGUGCCUAAUACAUGCAAGUCGAGCGAAUGGAUUAAGAGCUUGCUCUUAUGAAGUUAGCGGCGGACGGGUGAGUAACACGUGGGUAACCUGCCCAUAAGACUGGGAUAACUCCGGGAAACCGGGGCUAAUACCGGAUAACAUUUUGAACCGCAUGGUUCGAAAUUGAAAGGCGGCUUCGGCUGUCACUUAUGGAUGGACCCGCGUCGCAUUAGGUAGUUGGUGAGGUAACGGCUCACCAAGGCAACGAUGCGUAGCCGACCUGAGGGGGUGAUCGGCCACACUGGGACUGAGACACGGCCCAGACUCCUACGGGAGGCAGCAGUAGGGAAUCUUCCGCAAUGGACGAAAGUCUGACGGAGCAACGCCGUGUGAGUGAUGAAGGCUUUCGGGUCGUAAAACUCUGUUGUUAGGGAAGAACAAGUGCUAGUUGAAUAAGCUGGCACCUUGACGGUACCUAACCAGAAAGCCACGGCUAACUACGUGCCAGCAGCCGCAGUAA